UGUCCGUGAUCUAAGGGUGUGUGAAUUGUAGUGCAGGGCAAGGAGCAGAGAGAACUUUUUUCUUUCUUUUUAUUUUUUAUUUAUUUCAGCCAUUCUGCCUGCUUAUAAAACACACAAUUGGGUAACUUGUGGGUUUUUUUUUUUUCUCAUGAAUGACACCAGACUUUCUGUUUUGGCUAAAAAAAAUGACUGUUAGAGUGCUAGGUUAUGGCAAAGAGGAUGAAAAUUUUGCCUUCUGAAGUUCACAGAAGAAGCAAUACCUGGUUUAAACGCUCCUGCAGUGGAAGCAAUGUGCAGCUGAGAUGUUUGACACCACCAUAACUAAUGUCCCCUUUGUCCAUGAGAGGAGGAGGAUGACAGAGAAAGGCAGUUUGUCAGAGCAGGCCCCUGCUUGGUCUGGUAGCAGUUUUACCAGAGACCCAAUUUUGGCAGCAUGAGAAGGAAAGACAAGACACUUUGGGUUACUCUCUCCCUUCCCGUGGAGCGUGCCGACUGCGUUACUCCCUCGGGGACUAAUUCCCAAAGACAAGGACAGAGCUUUGGAGGAGUCCUGGGUCUCUACCACCAUGGAAGAGGAGAGCUGAAGGUUCCUGUGGUACCUCCUUGUCCUCUCCUGGUUGACGCGGGGGACGUGGCAGGGUGUCUGGCUGGGCCGUCUGCUCCCCUGGUAAAGCUCUACGUAGAGGAGUCACCUCGUAGUUGUGCAGAGGCUUUGGAGGGGCUGGUGGAACCACCUGCAGCUUCUGCCUGAGAGGUGAUGGUCUGAGCUCUGUGUUCCAGUCACCAUCUCGGGUGCGUUUGACUUCAGUAGGUAAACAGCUGUUGGGAGGAAGUGUGACUUCAGAGUUUCCUUUGGAAAGCACCCAACAGGCUACCUCUGGGCAUGUUGUCAUCUUGUGAGGAGUUCAGUGCCAGUCAGUAAUCUGUCUACGGGGUCAACUUAAAAAUGCCUGUGUUUUCAAAGAUGUAUUCUCCUGUACAGCAACGCCGUUUCCAUCUGAAUAUCCCGAGUGCCGACCUCUGAGCCACAGACUCCACCAGCCGUAACAUCGCUCCGUUGUGGAGCUUUAGCCCUUUCCCACCUGAGAUGAACUAGAACCCAAGAACCUCCUGAGGUAAGGGAUGCCCUGAGACGUUUAUCCCACAUGGAAUCUCCUCACCCUCCAGCAGGAACCAUGGCGGGUAUUGCCUGGACCGAAGGAGUCUCCAAUGAGACCGUGGCCAAUUCCAGUUUGGAAUUUGGCUUGGAAGCAGAUUUCCAGUAUUCAUUGUUCACUGUCAUCUACAGUGUUGUCUUUGUGCUGGGACUGAUAGAAAACGUGCUGGCUCUGUACCUGCUGUCCUGCAGAGUGACCCACACCUCCCAUUCCUACGUCUACAUGAUCAACCUGGCUCUGGUGGACACCUUGUUUGUUUGUGUGUUGCCCUUUAAAAUUCAUUACCACCUGAAUCGGAACGAUUGGAUCUUUGGUGACAUGGCCUGUAGGGUGACUGGGACCUUGUACUACAUCAACAUCUACCUGAGCAUUGCCUUCUUCACCUGCAUUUGUGUGGAUCGCUACAUCGCCGUCUUGCACCCCUUCACCUACAUCCAGAUCAAGGUCCUCCACUACGUGGUGGUGGUCGCGGUCCUCUGGGUGGUGGCUCUGAGUGUCAUGGUUCCACUUAUCCUGGGAGGUCCCCUCCACAACAGGGGGGCGAGGAACAAGACGCUGUGUUUUGAGAACUUCAAGACGAGCAGCUGGACGUCCCGCAUGGCUCCUUACAACAUCCUGGCCUUAGUUUUUGGGUUUGUGAUCCCGUUUUCCAUCAUUCUGAUCAGUUACCCUCUCGUCGCCAAGAGGGUCUCCCAGAUCAAGCACAGCAUCCGCAAGAGGAAGGCUCUGACCACCAUCUCCAUCAUCUUGCUCAUUUGCACCUUCUGCUUUCUCCCCUAUCACCUCACCCACCUGCUCCACUUCUUAAUGCGCGUCCAGGUCAUCCAGAACAAGGCCUUCACCCGCCUCAUCUACAAGAUGCGAAGGGUCACCUUGGCCCUGGUGAGUGUCAACUGCUGCCUCAACCCCCUCCUCUACUACUUCUCCUCCUCCAGCAAGCGAUGGCGCUGCAACUUCAAGCUCAGGUUCAGGUCCAAAAUCGUGUACACCAUCUGCGACCGGCAGUUCUGGGAGUCCUCCUGCGCUCAUAAGGUACAAGAGGGACACGGAAAUGAAAAACAGGGAGAUGAGAUCAACCAAGCUACUUAAAACCCGCUCCCCUUCCGAGAACUGCUGUUUCCACCCCGCGAAACGUGAGACUUUGGAGAGACUUGAUCAUUUGUGGGUUCUCGGAGCCACCAGCAGAACCACGGGCUGGGCCACCAGAGCUGCUUCCAAGCCCAGGGUUUACUUAAAAGGAUGUGAUUUUGGUAACAGACACAGACCCGCUCUUCCGUUCCUCCCCACAGCACCCCCAAACUCUAUGAAGCAAUACCUGCUGUGGGCCUGUCAGCACAGGGGGAGGCUGGGACCAGGAGGGGAAUUGGGUCUUUUUAACAGGGACCAAGGUAUUUCCAGUUCAAAAUGUGCAAAAUACGGGCUGAAAGUCACCCCCUGACCUGGCCAGGCUGGGGUGUCUGGGUUUUGCUGCACUAUUGGAUGUGGGACAGGAACUGCCACGGACCAUAAAGACGGGAGUGGGGUUAUGGUGGGGGGAGAGACAGGAUGGGGGCUCUGUACGAUUCAGAACUUCUCUUCACCCAACGAUGGACACUCCAGCUUCUGCCCAUAUUCAGCCAAUGCCACUGUCUACGCCCUGGUGAAGGACAGGAGGAGGUGUUUCCUUGUUGUAAAGAAAGCUUUUUAAGCCCUAGAAACUAGACUUUUGUAAGGAAGAAAACAGAGUGAUUUUGUCCAGGGCAGUGUUGGGCUGUAAGGAGCCAAGAUCAGAGUUGUGUGAAAAGUGCAUCUUCAAGGAUUCCUACCUGGUAGGUCCAGGACACGAGCAGGACUUUGGUUCCUUGGUCCUCUGAGUGCGCCGUGGCUUGGAUGAGGAUGGACUCCACCGUGAUGGACCCGUCGGGGAGAUGCUGCACGGAAUAAUCCUUCAGGACCCUGGUAGGAGAGAAGCCAGAGGAGUUAUUUUGGAUGGAGGUGGGUACAAGCUGAAGGGAGGGUCACCCCCUCACCCCCUCUCUGACUCCCCGACACCAGGAUGGUGGUCCUGCUUUGAGCUGUCUCUCUGGACCAGCCCCCACCACCCAAGGGAAGAAGAAUCAGGCCAAUUCAUUGAUUAUUUUGUUACUUUUACUAAUCAAGUAGGAUUUCCCACAGGAUUUAUUUCUGGCUUUCACAACAGCUGUAGCUCCGGCCUGAACUCUCUUUGUCUCCACAAAAUGCCAUCUCAGAACAGCCCAGAUACCUGGGGGAAGAGCUUUUAAGCUUCAUCUAAGAAUGAUAAGCUCAAGUCUGUUCCUUGGAGGGUGAAAAAAAAAGGGACCACUUGCCCUUUG